GAUGAACGCUGACAGAAUGCUUAAUACAUGCAAGUCGAGCGGAGUUAUGAUGGAGCUUGCUCCUGAUUAACUUAGCGGCGGGCGGGUGAGUAACACGUAGGCAACCUGCCCUCAAGACUGGGAUAACUACCGGAAACGGUAGCCAAUACCGGAUAAUUUCUUUCCUCUCCUGAAGAGAGAAUGAAAGGCGGAGCAAUCUGCUGCUUGGGGAUGGGCCUGCGGCGCAUUAGCUAGUUGGUGGGGUAACGGCUCACCAAGGCGACGAUGCGUAGCCGACCUGAGAGGGUGAACGGCCACACUGGGACUGAGACACGGCCCAG
rnacentral:rRNA from 1 species